rnacentral:rRNA from 1 species
AUUGAACGCUGGCGGCAUGCUUUACACAUGCAAGUCGAACGGCAGCGCGGGGGCAACCCUGGCGGCGAGUGGCGAACGGGUGAGUAAUGUAUCGGAACGUAUCCUGUAAUGGGGGAUAACCAGUCGAAAGAUUGGGUAAUACCGCAUACGCACGAGAGUGGAAAGUAGGGGAUCGCAAGACCUUACGUUAUAGGAGCGGCCGAUAUCUGAUUAGCUAGUUGGUGGGGUAAAGGCCUACCAAGGCGACGAUCAGUAGCUGGUCUGAGAGGACGACCAGCCACACUGGAACUGAGACACGGUCCAGACUCCUACGGGAGGCAGCAGUGGGGAAUUUUGGACAAUGGGCGCAAGCCUGAUCCAGCAAUGCCGCGUGCAGGAUGAAGGCCUUCGGGUUGUAAACUGCUUUUGUACGGAACGAAACGGUGAGCUCUAAUAAAGCUUGCUAAUGACGGUACCGUAAGAAUAAGCACCGGCUAACUACGUG